AGACUGGAAGGGAAAGUUGGGAAGCAGAUAUGGUGUAAAUGGGGGGUCUUCACUCUGGCACAUCUCAGAGGAUGGAGCAGGUGAACACAUUUGAGGACUUUGAGCUGGAGAAUAAAUGCACAUGUGGUGAUUUGCUCAACAGAGAGUAUUUGGGCCCUGUGCCUCAGUGUGGGUGGGGUGUGGCCCUAGGCUGUGAAGGCACCUGUUUAUGGCCCUCCUUGGGGACAGGCUGCUCCAGCACCCCAAGUGCACUCUGUCGUGGGCUCAGCUCACAUGCGCCACUCUGAGAGUCAUCCAGCCAGGUGUUGCCAGACCCAGAUUCACAGAUUUCCCCAUCAUGUGGUGCCCACUGGCCCUGCCCUGACCUGUGCCCCUUCCUAUACAGACGUCUGUGUUAACUCGCCUAUGGGUCCGUGACCAACAUGAGGGUCAACAGCACCAUGACAGCCAGGCACGUGCUCAUCCUGCUGCUGAACAAGUUCUGGGUGGAGAAUGGCCCCAGUGAGUUUGCACUCUAUAUCGUCCAUGAAUCUGGGGGGGCAGCAUUCUAAGGUUCGGAGAAGGUUCCAAGCCCCAUGGACAUCUGUUUCUAUCACAACCCCAUCUUGGAAGAGAGAAGCAAUCUUAAUGCCCCAUGAAUUUUGUAAACCACCUUCCUCUUCAGAACAGACAAAACUAAAAGACGGUGAGUACCCGCUGAUUUCCAGAAUCCUGCACGGGCCAUGUGAGAAGAUUGCCAGGAUACUCCUGAUGGAAGCUGACUUGGGCGAGGAGGUCCCCCACGAUGUGAGUGGGAGCUGAGGCUCGGGGGCCUGUUCCUUUGUGCAGGGCUAGGGGCAUUCUGAGGGACCUCCUUGGCCAGAGUGUCAGGGAAGAUGUUUCCAGGCCACAUUGCUGUCCUAAAGCCCCAGCCCAGCACUGUGAUGGCUCCAGCCUUGUUCCUAUCAGGGACCACCAGCUUCUGCAGCGGCUCAGGGGAGAGAGAAUUUGGGCCUUAGAGAACCGGGCCUGUGCUUCCACGGAAGCAGACAGGACCUUCUGGUAUGUUUUUCAUCAUCACUGCAUACACAGUGGUUCCUCACUGGGGCCACCACCCAAGUCCUGACUAGGAGACCAGCACAUUUCCAAACUCCCCUGCACAGAAAAGGCAAGUCAUGUGACCCUUGUCCUGGGCCAUUCAUGGGCUGAUGCCAGUUCAUUCCGGUGAGAAACAGCAGCCUUCCCAGUACCGCACCCAGUGUGGUGCCUCUCACUGUUGAGUGCUUCCCAGUGCUCACUUAGCUGCCCCUCCCAGGGAUGCUAGAUGGGCUCCCUCCUCCCACCCUGGCACACACACACCUGUGCUGUGGCACGUGGGGGGGCACCACUUCCAUGGGUAUCAGACACUGCCUCUAUCGGCCCCUAUGGAAACUGUCAGGAAAAGAACACACAUUUUUGUUUUCUAAUUUAGAGCACAUUCCAAUGUUAGAUUUUCUAGGUCGCUCAGUACAUUAAGUUUGAAAUGCCAGUGCUGGAUAGUUUUGUUGAGAAAUUAAAACAACAGGAGGAAAGAGAAGUAAUCAAACUGACCACGAAGUAAGCAGCACUCAAAGACCCAGUCUUGGGUCCUGGACCUCGGGGCAAGUCUGCUGGGCAGAGCCCCUGGGGCCAGACAGGGGGCACUCAGGCUCCCCUAGUGCACAGCCCAGGGCCUUGCAAACCCCGGCCCCCCAGCACUGCCCUCUGGCCCAGGCUUGGUGUUAAUACCAACUGAGUGACAGCCCACCGAAAUGGUGGGAUGCAGCCCAGACCACCACAGUGGCGGCCUCCAUGCCUCACUGCAGGGGCACACGCUGCUGGAAACUGGACAGGAGUCAGGCAGGGGCAGGGGCACUGGGCCAAGGUUGUCAUUCUGGUGACACAGCCCUGGAAGAGCAAUGAGGACAGGGCCUGCUUGGUGCCGAGUGUUCUGAGCCUGCCAAAAAGCAGUGGCUGUUGGAAUCCCCGUGCCAGCUACCUUUCAGGUGUGGAGACCGGUUUGGAAACCAGUUCAACAGACAGGUGAGCAGCUGUAACCUGCCAGCUCCUGGGAAGGUGAUGUGAAGGCUCAGCUGUACCUCCCGAGGAUGUGUUUGAGGCGUGUGGGUACACAGCUCUCACCAGUGCCUGAGUGGGAGCCCUCAGAGGAGUGGGAAUGGGCAGGCUGCUCAACACAGGGGCCUGCAGUCCAGGACCAGUUUUGAUUCUGGCUUCUGACUGAAGGAUUCUUGGAAACUACCCCCCACUUCCUGUUUUGCAGCCGGGGCCCCUCAGGCAGCCAUCCAGCCCCAUCAGGGAGAACAGACGACACACAGAUGGCAGGUCACCGAAGGGUUUUGGAGUUGAGGGUGCCUGGGGGUCACUUGGUUCAUUUGUUCAGUGUGUGGACAGCCCAUGGGGCCCAAGACAGGAAGGUGGCAGCACAGGCUGUUAUGGCCCAGGAUGGCAGGCAGGCUUCCCAUUCCCUCCAGCCUGCUCCUCCCCACACUAGAGAACCGCAGAAAGAAGCUGCAGCACUUGGCUUUCAGGCAGGACCUGGUCUGCCGACCUGUGGGACUGCUCCCUGAACCAGUGCUCUUCCCAGGCCCGCCUGGCCUUUCCCUCCCCUGGUGGAGGAGAGACAGUCCUCGAAUCAGCCGGUCAAGGGCCCUGGGUCUCCUGGCCCACGUGUCUGUGCUGUCCCUCCCUCUGUCCCACGUGCCUCCAGCCUGAGUGGGCCCUCUUGUCUGCAUCUCCCCCAGGUUCCAGGCCCUGCGUGUGAUGAUGUUGCAGCGUCUGCAGGAGAUGGUGGAGACUCAGUAGCCCACAGCCAGUCACCCAGAGGGCCAGUGGGCAGACGCUGACUGAGGGCUGCCGGCUGGGAGUCCCACAUCAAGCCGCUGCCUGUCCACCUGCCUAAGGACCCUGAGUCCCGUGGCCCUGGCUCUUGGCUCCCAGAGCACUCACAGGACCCAGAGCCCGGCCAAGGGGCGAGGAACUCACUGGACGGGGUCUCUGUAUGGGGCUGGCCUGUACAGUGAGCAGCCCCAAAGUGGAGGCACUGGCCAUACUGUGUGGCUGGAUGGUGUGGCCGUUCCCAUUCCGCCACACCUGUCCUGCUCAGGAGAGUGGUGCCUGACUGCAGCCCAGGGCCUGGGCUUUCCCAGCACCCAGCCCUGAGCCUCCUUGGGGCCAUUGCCCGUUCUCAACAUCUAUGUGAACCACAUGGUCUGGGCCCUCACCUCAUGCUGCUACUCAGGAGCUCUGCAAGGAGGAGCAGGAGCUGCCAGCAGAUAUGGGACCCACCCUGCUCCCAGCCAUCACUUUCCCAUGGCUCGCCUGGCAUGCAGGCCUCCAGUGUCACCAUGUGAACCUGCAUAGCCCAGUCCUGGGUGCCAGAUGUCGGACCAGGAACAAGUCAUGAGUGUCUCGUUUUCUCCCAGCACCACUCGCUCCUACUUGAGCUUGCUGCCCAAACACUGAGCUCUGGUCAUGUGUAGAACAUGGCUGUACACCACUGGAAGGGGGCCACCCUGAGCUGAGAGUGCAGGGCUGCUGGCGGCUCAGAGGGUGGCGCACAUUCCUCAGGGGCCUGGGUGCCUCCUGCCCUCUGUGAGCUUGCAUCUUCCUCCACCUCCCGUCAAAAGAGGUGCAAGGAGGAGACAGUCUGAGGAGGAAGGGGUUUGAAUUCGCUGAGGCCAAAUACUUAACAAUUUGGGUUUGUCAGCUGAUGGGGAAUUUCUGGAAUGAAUCAGAAGGCCUUUGGAAAACUGUAGCAGUUUACUUCACUCAUGUGAAGUAUUUGUCCCAAACAGAGCAAGCUAAAGACCAAAGUCUUCUCCCGCAGGGGCGUGGGCAGCAGAUUUCAAGAGAACUAUAAAGUCUUCCAAAUGUAGGAGAGACUAUCUGCUUCAUGCCAGGGUUUUCCGACCUAACCCUGCUGUCACAGAGAUGCACAGGGUGAUGCCUGGGGUGACCCUCCAUGGUUUCUACUGUCCCUGCUCCCUUUGGCAGCAUGGUUUUCUAGGUGCUCAAUAAAGGUGUGUAUGUGAACUGAA